rnacentral:rRNA from 1 species
GCAUGGGUUUUAUAUUAAAGAAAUUCGGUAUGAGAUGGGGAUGCGUUCCAUUAGUUUGUGGGGGGGUACGGCCCCCAAGACUACGAUGGAUAGGGGUCUGAGAGGAAGUCCCCACAUGGACUGAGACACGGUCCAAACUCCUACGGGAGGCAGCAGUGAGGAAUAUUGGUCAAUGGACGCGAGUCUGAACCAGCCAAGUAGCGUGAAGGAUGACUGCCCUAUGGGUUGUAAACUUCUUUUAUAUGGGAAUAAAGUUGUCCACGUGUGGAUUUUUGUAUGUACCAUAUGAAUAAGGAUCGGCUAACUCCGUGCCAGCAGCCGCGGUAAUACGGAGGAUCCGAGCGUUAUCCGGAUUUAUUGGGUUUAAAGGGAGCGUAGGCGGAUUGUUAAGUCAGUUGUGAAAGUUUGCGGCUCAACCAGUAAAAUUGCAGUUGAUACUGGCAGUCUUGAGUGCAGUAGAGGUGGGCAGGAAUUCAGUGGUGUAGCGGUGAAAUGCUUAGAUAUCACGAAGAACUCCGAUUGCGAAGCAGCUCACUGGAGUGUAAC